UCAUGCUGGUGGCCUGGACACUGAAGGGAGAGAAGUGGAUUUGAGAGACAUUUAGGAGUACCUGCUGCAAGAAGGGACAGACACUGCUGCAGAGAACUUGCCAUGGUGUUUCAUGCUGCGGCUGGUGGUUCCAGGCUGCAAGCUCCAUUCUAGAAAGGGCUGGCCCUGCUUCCUGCCUACGGGCUGUGGGUGUAUCAUCUGGAGCUGCAAAUGGGGUGAUGGGGCAUCAGUAGCCUUCUCACACCCAAGAACUUCCUGACACCCAGUGCCUCAUCUCCAGCCAACCUCUGGCGCCCCCAGAGAUCCUGGGACCCAGGCCUCACACUCCAGCAGGGGGGCUCUUCGUCCUUCUGGUGGUGCUGUCCUUUGGAGGUACCUUCGAACAGGAGUGCAACAGAUAGAAUUCAGGAAGUGCCAUCUGUUGCAUGGAUACCCUGCUGCCACCCUUGUCCACCUUCCUGGGGCAGAUCCUGGGAUGGGUCUUUAUGUAAGAACACAAAAGGGAGAAAGAAUGCAUAGAGGCCAGGCACGUUGGCUCAUGCCUGUAAUCCCAGCACUUUGGAAGGCCGAGGUGGGUGGAUCACUUGAGGU